rnacentral:misc_RNA from 1 species
UGCAGUGAGUAUAUCAGUUCCUUUUUGAGCUGCUGCAUAGAAGUUGACAAUGAGUGGCACUCCAGCCGUUGGCGCGCGCGAGAACCUCGGGUCGCGUGUUGAUGUGGGGCGCUCUCCCUCGGAGACUUCAGGAAGGGAUGGACAGGUUGCGCAUCUACUGGCGCAGAUUGCGUUUCUUCAUCGAGAGGUGGAGCGCCUAGAGCAGCUGCUUUCUACCGUGCGAGCAAAGUCGUAUGCUGAUGCACGUGAGCUGACCAGCCAAUAUGAGCAAACUAUCAAGCAAAAGAACGCGGAGCUAGAAAAUCUCCGACACCCCAGUGGGUCGCGUAGUGAGGUUGGCGACGCAAGCAAAAGGUGUAAGGUUCUCGAAAAGCAAUUGGCCGCCGCCAACAGCGAAAAGAGCGUUGCUUGUAUGGAAAGGGCGGACUUGCAGGCGAAAUUGCGAAAAAUGCAGGCGCUGCUGAAAUGCAGAAAAGAGGAGGUCGUCAAAGUCAAGGGCAGCUUGGAGGAGAGCAAUGUGGAGCGAUCGUCCACGAUUGCGGCACUGAAGAUGACUGUUGAGACUUUGUCGCAGGAAUGCGAUCGCUUGAGCUCAGAGUUGGCGGAGCAGGCAAAGCGGCAGCGUGUCGAGAGGACAAGCACGGGCACAGUUUGUGAGCUUCACCGCUCGGAAUCCGAGAGUCAAACCAGCCCUAUCGAACGGAUGUCCCAAUCGUGUCAGGUGUGCACGCUACAGGACGCUUUGCUAACUGCGGGAGAGGAUGCCGAGGCACCGCAUAGCCUAGCGAUUCUUUUUGAGGAGAAAACGCGAGAGUGCGAUCAGCUUCGUGGUGCUUUGGAGGAUCUAAGUGCGAUGCAGCGGGACGCCUUGGCGAUGCUGGAGGUGACAAAGAACCAGCUAAGCACCGAGGCGGAGCGGAGGCGAAUCGCGGUAGACGAUGUCGAGAAUUUGUCCGUGCAGCUUCGUGCGUUGCAGCAGCGAUGCAGCGAUCAAACCGCAGCGGAACGCGCGAUGGCGGACAAAAUCAGACUCCUGGGAGAGGAGCGGCAAAAGAUGCUGGUGGAGAAAUCUCAAAUUGAGCGGGACAGAGAUCACUGGGAGGAGCAGCUGCGCCAGUACGAAGCGGAUGUAGCGCAGCUCUCGGCUACGAAAAACCACUCGAACCGUCAAUUGAGCACACUUGCAAACGAAAACGAGAAUUUGCGUGCUGAAAUUCAGCAAUUGUGCGAGCGUGAGGCACAGGCAGUAUACGCUGUGAAGGCAAAAGACAUGGAGGUACAGGAAAUUCUAAGUGCAUAUCAAAAGGCUGCGCAAGAGAAUGAGUCGCUUUUGGAAAGUCAGCGCUUCCUUGAGCGGGAGCUGGAUAAUGUGCGCGCCGGACUUGCCUCAAAGGAGGAGACUGUGGCAUAUUUACAGGAGCAGUUGAGAUCGAUGCAUUUACGAGAGCAACAGCUGACAUUGGAUAUCCAAUCACUCGAAUACGAGAAUGAGAAUCACCAUCAACGACUAGCUAGAGGGGAUCACCAGGCAGCUGAACUCGAAGCAAAGUGCUCGGAGCUCGUUCAGCUUCUGCAGACGAAAGAGCGCUGUAUUGAAGAACUACAUCAGAGCUUGAGUGAGUUGAGCAAGCAGGUGAUUGUGAAAGACAAUGAGUCUUUGUUGCUGCGCCAGCGGUGCGACACACUUCUUGCGGACAUGGCCUUACUCCAAGCUUCGUUUUCGAAAGAGAAGACGAGAGUGCAGGAUCUGGAAGCGUCCAACGCGCGCCUUGUUGCGCGUGAAGUUCUAUCGCUUAACGAUGCGGCUGAUAGAAGAGAGCAGGCCCAAGCGCUAGAAGAUGAGCGGGCAACACUGAAGGCGGUCAUUGAUGAGAAUGAGAGAAUUGCGGUCUCGUGUGAGCAGCUCGUUGAAAGCAACAAAGUUCUGGAAUCCAGAGUGGCGGAGUUGGAAAAGUCGCUGCAAGAAUCGAUAGAAGCAAAAGAAAGGCUGCAUAGAAUUGUACUGGAACAAAACAAGGCGCUUUCUCGCCUCUCUGAGUGAAGCGAGUGAGGGUACGGUGGCAGGUGCUGUUGCUUUUUUUUUUUGCGUGGGUCAGAGAUGAUGAACGACGAUGUGCACGUUAGCGUAGUUCUGAAAGCACCUUUUCUAUUUUUUUUUUUUGCAUACAAUAGAUGCUGCAUAUUUCUCCGUUUCUGUGAACGAUGAGGGAAACACGCACAAAUAAAAGUAGAUGCCUUGUAUGGGAAGUGAUUCUUGGUUUCGCCGCAUUUCUAAACGGCUCACCACUCGCGCAUGUGCAAAUUGGUAGUGCAUUUUGGCCAACUUCUAUGUGAUGCUCGUUUGUGGUGCAUCGGCGCUUCUGCCUCAUUUCUCUUUUUUUACUCUACACACCCUCUUUUUCUCUGUGCAAUUCAAG